UAUAGACUCAUUACGCUCAUCAGAUGGCGCAUGGAAAGGCCUACGUUACCCGAAGGACUUGGUCCUGGUUUUCCCGAAAAAUGGUCCUAAAUAUGGCGCAAAAACAGAUUGCCCGAAGCCCUCGGCUGCUACCAUAACUGAUCCUUAAGUACUUCAUCUGUAAGCAUGGACGCCUUCACCACAAGUAACAACUGUGAAGAAUUGGAAGAUUUUGUAAGCGUUUACCUUGAAAAUGCCAACGCCUUUUUGAAUAAGUAUCAAGAACAUGACAGUGUUGGCUCCUUUCUUGCCCGUAGUAAUGACGGCUACAUUCCUGCCAGAAGUGUUAAAGUGUCCGAAAUGGAGUCUGAUGUGUACCUUAACUUUGAAUCGGAUAUUGAUGGCAUUGUGAUUGAAUGGAAAACAGUCGCAGCAUUAAAUCAUCCCGUGCGUUA